rnacentral:rRNA from 1 species
UACAGAGGGGGCAAGCGUUGUUCGGAAUUACUGGGCGUAAAGGGCGCGUAGGCGGCCUGUUAAGUCGAACGUGAAAUCCCCGGGCUCAACCCGGGAACUGCGUCCGAUACUGGCAGGCUUGAAUCCGGGAGAGGGAUGCGGAAUUCCAGGUGUAGCGGUGAAAUGCGUAGAUAUCUGGAGGAACACCGGUGGCGAAGGCGGCAUCCUGGACCGGCAUUGACGCUGAUGAGCGAAAGCUAGGGGAGCAAACGGG